rnacentral:rRNA from 1 species
ACGAACGCUGGCGGCGUGCUUAACCCAUGCCAGUCGCACGGAAAGGCCCUGCUUUUGUGGGGUGCUCGAGUGGCGAACGGGUGAGUAACACGUGAGUAACCUGCCCUUGACUUUGGGAUAACUUCAGGAAACUGGGGCUAAUACCGGAUAGGAGCUCCUGCUGCAUGGUGGGGGUUGGAAAGUUUCGGCGGUUGGGGAUGGACUCGCGGCUUAUCAGCUUGUUGGUGGGGUAGUGGCUUACCAAGGCUUUGACGGGUAGCCGGCCUGAGAGGGUGACCGGCCACAUUGGGACUGAGAUACGGCCCAGACUCCUACGGGAGGCAGCAGUGGGGAAUAUUGCACAAUGGGCGGAAGCCUGAUGCAGCAACGCCGCGUGCGGGAUGACGGCCUUCGGGUUGUAAACCGCUUUCGCCUGUGACGAAGUGUGAGUGACGGUAAUGGGUAAAGAAGCACCGGCUAACUACGUG